AAUCUUCCGCAAUGGACGCAAGUCUGACGGAGCAAUGCCGCGUGAGUGACGAAGGUUUUCGGAUCGUAAAACUCUGUUGUGAGGGAAGAACACGUACCAAUUAACUACUGGUACCUUGACGGUACCUCACCAGAAAGCCACUGCUAACUACGUGCCAGCAGCCGCGGUAAUACGUAGGUGGCAAGCGUUGUCCGGAAUUAUUGGGCGUAAAGCGCGCGCAGGCGGUCUUUUAAGUCUGAUGUGAAAGCCCCCGGCUCAACCGGGGAGGGUCAUUGGAAACUGGGAGACUUGAGUGCAGAAGAGGAGAGUGGAAUUCCAUGUGUAGCGGUGAAAUGCGUAGAGAUAUGGAGGAACACCAGUGGCGAAGGCGACUCUCUGGUCUGCAACUGACGCUGAGGCGCGAAAGCGUGGGGAGCAAAC
rnacentral:rRNA from 1 species